CAAUAGCGUAUAUUUAAGUUGCUGCAGUUAAAAAGCUCGUAGUUGGAUUCCGGGUGGGAAUGGCCGGUCCGCCGUUUCGGUGAGCACUUGCUACGCCCACCUUGCUGCCGGGGACGUGCUCUUGAGUUCACGCUCGGGACACGGAGUCGGCGAGGUUACUUUGAGUAAAUUAGAGUGUUCAAAGCAGGCCUACGCUCUGAAUACAUUAGCAUGGAAUAACACGAUAGGACUCUGGCCUAUCUUGUUGGUCUGUAGGACCGGAGUAAUGAUUAAGAGGGACAGUCGGGGGCAUUCGUAUUUCAUUGUCAGAGGUGAAAUUCUUGGAUUUAUGAAAGACGAACUACUGCGAAAGCAUUUGCCAAGGAUGUUUUCAUUAA
rnacentral:rRNA from 1 species